UACAGAGGGGGCAAGCGUUGUUCGGAAUUACUGGGCGUAAAGGGCGCGUAGGCGGCCCGCUAAGUCGAACGUGAAAUCCCCGAGCUCAACUCGGGAACUGCGUCCGAUACUGGUGGGCUUGAAUCCGGGAGAGGGAUGCGGAAUUCCAGGUGUAGCGGUGAAAUGCGCAGAUAUCAGGAAGAACACCCGUGGCGAAGGCGGUUCUCUGGGACGGUACUGACGCUGAGACGCGAAAGCGUGGGGAGCGAACAGG
rnacentral:rRNA from 1 species